CAAUAAUACAUUACUUUCAUAUUUAAUGAACAAAUAGAUAAGAUAAAUACAAUAUUUUCAAAAUACAUGACAACAAAAUAUACUCAGAAGAGAAACACUGUAACCACCAUUACAAUCAUAUAUUCUUAAUUUUGUCCCAAUUAUUAUAUGCAUCUUAGGUGACUUCCUAGGAUACAGCAGUAUCACCCAAGGAGAAAACUUGAAUAGAAGAAAAGUGCGUUUAGCACGCGGUCUGGAGGAAUGCCAGCAAUGAAAGUGCACACGAAGUAAGAGGCAGAGACACCGAUCUGCAGGCACUGAUGGGAGCAAUAGAAGAGAUAAUUUCUGGAGGCCAGGUAUGCCAUUUUUAGCAGGAAGUCAAACAUGUCUCUAUUCAGCUCUCCCCAGCGUGUAUGAAUUGUCUAAUCAGGCCAACAAGGAGUAAAGGAGUAUGUUCCAUUUCGAAGCCCAGGACUUAACAGGCCCAUUCUGUAAGGAGUCAAUGGAACAUUGUUUUUCUCAGUCUUGUUGGGAAGGGGGAAUUAGUCAAAAUGAGAGCUUACACUGGGGAAUGCCCAGAAGGCUUUCUCAAACAAAAUUGUGAAACUGAUGUCAAUGGGUGUUCACCGAUACCAUGUCAGAAUCAUACUGACUGCACUCCUAUUCCAAAGGUAAGUGUGAAUCUAUCAUACAAGGGAG
rnacentral:lncRNA from 1 species